rnacentral:rRNA from 1 species
CCUACGGUGCGCAGCAGUGGGGAAUAUUGCACAAUGGGCGAAAGCCUGAUGCAGCAACGCCGCGUGAAGGAAGAAGGGUUUCGGCUCGUAAACUUCUAUCAACAGGGACGAAAGAAAUGACGGUACCUGAAUAAGAAGCCCCGGCUAACUACGUGCCAGAAGCCGCGGUAAUACGUAGGGGGCAAGCGUUAUCCGGAAUUACUGGGUGUAAAGGGUGAGUAGGCGGCAUGGUAAGCCAGAUGUGAAAGCCUUGGGCUUAACCCGAGGAUUGCAUUUGGAACUAGCAAGCUAGAGUACAGGAGAGGAAAGCGGAAUUCCUAGUGUAGCGGUGAAAUGCGUAGAUAUUAGGAAGAACUCCGAUUGCGAAGGCAGCUCACUGGACUGCAACUGACACUGAGGCUCGAAAGUGUGGGUAUCAAACAGGAUUAGAUACCCGAGUAGUC